ensembl:lncRNA
GGCUAAGUAGGUUACUGUAUGUCCAAAUUCACAGAUAAGUCACUCUCAGAACCAUCUCUGGUAUGUCUCGAGAGCAUAUCCAAAUGCACAAAACUAGUAGAAAGUAUUUACUACUGUCAUCAUUCUAAUAGCAUUGUUUGGAAAGUCACUCUGCACGGGUCCCACCUGGCUCAGAUCUGUACUCACAGAGAUCAUUAAACGUGGCCUAGCCCUAGUGUGAAUGGCCUCUUAUUUGCCAAUCAAUCUGGCAGAACCCUAUUGCUGCCCUGUACAGUAUCUAGAAAAGCCAAGCAGAGGUGGUUCUUCAAGAAAGAUAGUCAUACGAAACAGGAACCCAUUUCGACUCUGUUAAAAAAUGGAACCGUGGAAAGGGAGAGCGAGGACCCACAGAACAGGUUUUUCCUUUGAUGAAGAUGGAGCCCUGCAGAACCUCAAUCUGCAGCCCGGGGAUUCUGGAGAGAACCUGUGUAAUGGGGAAACGGCAGCUAAAGUAACAGUGUUGACAGAUCACCUCAAAAUCCAGAGUACCACUGCUGUUAUGAAAACAGAUGUUGUUGGGAGAGAGAACAAAGAGACAGGCCCUACAAAUGUGACAGGACACGAGCAGGAAGGAGCUCCAGACUAGGUGCUUGUCAAAUCUAGGAUCUAUGAUUACACAAGGGCCCUCUCAUGUGGAAGACACUGAGGUUCAUUUUGCAUCUCUGGGUCGGCAGAACUGGAGGGAAAGAUUGAGGGUACAGGGAGACCUGCAUCACGUCAUCUAUUCCGCUGUGGUCACUGCUAGACCAGCAUUCCAGGGUUUGAAGAGAAUAACUCAUUGAUUAACCAUACAGUUCGUAUUUGACUAGUGUUGCACAGGUGACAUCUUCCUGGGCCAAUCCUUGCACUCCCUGAGCAGUGGGGCGGGCCAUACCAGUGUGCUUCAGACUGCCGUAUUGCAGACCCACUUCCUGUGAAAAACAUAUCCAUCAUAAUUAGAGAUGAAAUAUUACCAUCAUGCCAUCCAAACCUCUCGGGCGUACAUUUACAGUUAGAUAAUGUUUAGACCUAACUGUUAUGACUCAAUCAUUUACAGAAGUACUUUUACCUUGAGACUUGAAUUCCUGUUCACACAGGUGUUGCACAAACAUGUUGUUUUACCUGAAAGAGGGAACAAUUUAGUUUUGAAGGGACAAUCUGCAGUUCAAACGGUAAGAAAAAGGUAACCCCACCACUGCUUUGGUAAAUAGGUGAGCAAUGGGUCUUGAGAGAUGGAACCACUCUCAAAUUCAUAGGCAGAGCUACGGAUGCAAGGACUGACCAUCCAUGAGAUCAAAUUAUAGUUUUAAUUGUGUUUUGAGGACAUACAGUGUUUGUUACAAUUACAGUGUUUAUAAACAUUGGAGUUAAACAAUCUUAUAUUUGGAGUUUUGAUGGGGUAAGACAGUUGAACUAAGCUCAUGAGGCAUUUAUAUGUGAUAUUCUUCAAGCAUCAAUGGGUACAAAUUAUUAUUAUUCAUUUGAAAGUCAACAUAAUGCAUGAAUCAACUGCAGAUUUGCAAUAGACUAACUUUGGUUUUGGAGCAUAAUGUCUCUUUAAGUAAACUUGUCAAACUUCAGAUACGUUCAAAGUAUUAACUGUUUGAUUGUGUUUACAUUUACAAUUCAACCAUAACAAGAAUGGGGAUUACCAAGAUUUGUACAUUAUCUUUCUAUGUUUACAAUACACUGUCUUACUUGCUUUUCUUGUCACUGCAACAGAAAGUGAAUGUACAGUUAAAAUGACACUCCAAGGCAAGGUCUAUGUAUAGAAAGUACAAGAGCAGACACCGUUGUGCUGAUCACUCACGGGAAGGAUGUUUCUGCUCUCUGUGAAGUCAUUUUUCAUACAGAUUGAUACAUUUUCUGCCUUCUUGCUCUCACUAUGCCAAACGUAAAUCUCAUCUUGGAGGCCCUGUCUACUGUCUCGGGUUGCAAGGUGGAAUCAGCCACCACGGGAACAAUUUCGCUAACACCACAGGACUUUGUCAAUGUGGUCGCACUAAAGGAGUUGGAAUACCCACGUUUGUAGACAUUUUCUUCACCACGUGCCUUAGCUUUACCAGAUGCUUUUCCACUCCACAAACCACUGUGUCUGUGAACGUGAAUGAGUUCCUUGAUUCUAGGUAUGACUACGACUUUACAAAUGUUAAGGAUUGGGAAACAAUGUUUACUUGGGGGAAAGGAGCUGUAUGCCAGACACUGUGGCUGGAACCGCAUUGCCCUGAAGGUUUUUAACAAAUACAGGGAUGGAGAUGGAUGGUUGGGGACCGGAGACGAGGCUUGGCCAGUGUCCUUCUACAGACCUGCUAUGGACGGAUCCCAGGGCAUCAUCAGGAAUGAUGGAGCUGGUGCUACUUUAGGAAGAGGAGUCUACUCAACACCGGACAUUAACAUAGCUGAGUAGUUCUCUAAGAGAUUCACGUCCAAAGUAGAUAACAAAACCUACAAGGUGGUGCUACAGAAUAGGAUCAACCCCCAGGAAAGGAGAGUUACUGACCGGUCUAUGUGCCUGAGGAAUCAUCUCCGGUUCAAGAGAACUAUUGUGGAAAACUCCACCUGUCCUUAUGGUCUGCUGCUUAAGGAAGUGUUGUAAUCCAUUAAGACAGUGUUUGAAAGAUAAGUAAAUAGGUUGAUCAGAAAAUGAAGAGAUGUAUCAUCAGAUCAAUUUAACUAGGCAGUCAGUUAAGAACAAAUUCUUAUUUUCAAUGACGACCUAGGAACAGUGGGUUAACUGCCUUUACAGAUUUUUACCUUGUCAGCUCAGGGAUUAAGUAACCAGGUUUAUUUGUUAUAGUCAUAAGAUUAACAUAAGAUUGAGUUUUUAUCCAGUGUAGAUAUAGCCUUUACCUGAUAGGCCACUAUUAUGGAUGUGUGUUCAAGGGUAAUAAAAUGACCUAAAAU